rnacentral:sRNA from 1 species
GCUGGGCACAGUGGUGCAUGCCUGUAAUCCUAAUGGCUAGGGAGGCUGAGGCAGGAGGAUUGUGAGUUCAAAGCCAGCCUCAGCAAAAGGGAGGUGCUAAGCAACUCAGUAAAAUCCUGUCUUUA